AACGCGAAGAACCUUACCAGCCUUUGACAUGUCUCGUAUGGGUUUCCGAGAGGAAAUUCUUCGGUUCGGCCGGCGAGAACACAGGUGCUGCAUGGCUGUCGUCAGCUCGUGUCGUGAGAUGUUGGGUUAAGUCCCGCAACGAGCGCAACCCUCAUCUUCAGUUGCCCCCGGGUCAGGCCGGGCACUCUGAAGAAACCGCCGGUGACAAGCCGGAGGAAGGCGGGGAUGACGUCAAGUCCUCAUGGCCCUUACAGGCUGGGCUACACACGUACUACAAUGGUGGUGACAGUGGGCUGCGAAGGAGCGAUCCGGAGCCAAUCCCCAAAAGCCAUCUCAGUUCAGAUUGCACUCUGCAACUCGAGUGCAUGAAGUUGGAAUCGCUAGUAAUCGCAGAUCAGCACGCUGCGGUGAAUACGUUCCCGGGCCUUGUACACACCGAGACGAC
rnacentral:rRNA from 1 species